AGAAUCAACGCUGGCGGCGUGCCUAACACAUGCAAGUCGAACGCGAAAGUGGAGCAAUCCAUAAGUAGAGUGGCAAACGGGUGAGUAACGCGUGGGCGACCUGCCUUCGAGUGGGGGAUAACAUUCCGAAAGGGAUGCUAAUACCGCAUAACAUCCUUCGUUUAGAUACGAGGUGAUCAAAGCCGGGAGCAAUUCUGGCGCUUAAAGAGGGGCCCGCGUCCGAUUAGCUAGUUGGUGGGGUAACGGCCUACCAAGGCUCCGAUCGGUA
rnacentral:rRNA from 1 species